CCGGGAUUGCCUUAGUAACGGCGAGUGAAGCGGCAAAAGCUCAAAUUUGAAAUCUGGUACCUUCGGUGCCCGAGUUGUAAUUUGGAGAGGGCAACUUUGGGGCCGUUCCUUGUCUAUGUUCCUUGGAACAGGACGUCAUAGAGGGUGAGAAUCCCGUGUGGCGAGGAGUGCGGUUCUUUGUAAAGUGCCUUCGAAGAGUCGAGUUGUUUGGGAAUGCAGCUCUAAGUGGGUGGUAAAUUCCAUCUAAAGCUAAAUAUUGGCGAGAGACCGAUAGCGAACAAGUACAGUGAUGGAAAGAUGAAAAGAACUUUGAAAAGAGAGUGAAAAAGUACGUGAAAUUGUUGAAAGGGAAGGGCAUUUGAUCAGACAUGGUGUUUUGUGCCCUCUGCUCCUUGUGGGUAGGGGAAUCUCGCAUUUCACUGGGCCAGCAUCAGUUUUGGUGGCAGGAUAAAUCCAUAGGAAUGUAGCUUGCCUCGGUAAGUAUUAUAGCCUGUGGGAAUACUGCCAGCUGGGACUGAGGACUGCGACGUAAGUCAAGGAUGCUGGCAUAAUGGUUAUAUGCCGCCCGUCUUGAAACACGGACCUCCUGUGUGA
rnacentral:rRNA from 1 species